AGUGAACGCUGGCGGUAGGCCUAACACAUGCAAGUCGAACGGCAGCACAGAGGAGCUUGCUCCUUGGGUGGCGAGUGGCGGACGGGUGAGGAAUACAUCGGAAUCUACUCUGUCGUGGGGGAUAACGUAGGGAAACUUACGCUAAUACCGCAUACGACCUACGGGUGAAAGCAGGGGACCUUCGGGCCUUGCGCGAUUGAAUGAGCCGAUGUCGGAUUAGUUAGUUGGCGGGGUAAAGGCCCACCAAGGCGACGAUCCGUAGCUGGUCUGAGGGGAUGAUCAGCCACACUGGAACUGAGACACGGUCCAGACUCCUACGGGAGGCAGCAGUGGGGAAUAUUGGACAAUGGGCGCAAGCCUGAUCCAGCCAUACCGCGUGGGUGAAGGAGGCCUUCGGGUUGUAAAGCCCUUUUGUUGGGAAAGAAAUCCAGCUGGCUAAUACCCGGUUGGGAUGACGGUACCCAAAGAAUAAGCACCGGCUAACUUCGUGCCAGCAGCCGCCGUAA
rnacentral:rRNA from 1 species